UACGUAGGGUGCGAGCGUUUGUCCGGAAUUAUUGGGCGUAAAGAGCUUGUAGGUGGUUUGUCGCGUCUGCUGUGAAAAUCCGAGGCUCAACCUCGGACUUGCAGUGGGUACGGGCAGACUAGAGUGUGGUAGGGGAGACUGGAAUUCCUGGUGUAGCGGUGGAAUGCGCAGAUAUCAGGAGGAACACCGAGUGGCGAAGGCAGGUCUCUGGGCCAUUACUGACAC
rnacentral:rRNA from 1 species